rnacentral:rRNA from 1 species
UGGGGAAUUUUGGACAAUGGGCGAAAGCCUGAUCCAGCAAUGCCGCGUGUGUGAAGAAGGCCUUCGGGUUGUAAAGCACUUUUGUCCGGAAAGGAAUCCUUGGCUCUAAUACAGUCGGGGGAUGACGGUACCGGAAGAAUAAGCACCGGCUAACUACGUGCCAGCAGCCGCGGUAAUACGUAGGGUGCAAGCGUUAAUCGGAAUUACUGGGCGUAAAGCGUGCGCAGGCGGUUUGCUAAGACCGAUGUGAAAUCCCCGGGCUCAACCUGGGAACUGCAUUGGUGACUGGCAGGCUAGAGUAUGGCAGAGGGGGGUAGAAUUCCACGUGUAGCAGUGAAAUGCGUAGAGAUGUGGAGGAAUACCGAUGGCGAAGGCAG